UACAGAGGGUGCGAGCGUUAAUCGGAAUUACUGGGCGUAAAGCGUGCGUAGACGGUAAUGUAAGUCAGAUGUGAAAGCCCCGGGCUCAACCUGGGAAUUGCAUUUGAGACUGCAUUGCUUGGGUGCGGAAGAGGGAAGCGGAAUUUCCGGUGUAGCGGUGAAAUGCGUAGAUAUCGGAAGGAACACCAGUGGCGAAGGCGGCCACCUGGACGAGCACUGACGCUGAGAAGCGAAAGCGUGGGGAGCAAACAGG
rnacentral:rRNA from 1 species